GCCCCGGUAGCAUAAUGGUUAGAGCGUCUGCCUCAAAUGCGGGAGGUCGCGGGUUCAAACCCCGGCCAAGUCA